rnacentral:rRNA from 1 species
AGCGAACGCUGGCGGCAGGCCUAACACAUGCAAGUCGAACGGACCCUUCGGGGUUAGUGGCGGACGGGUGAGUAACACGUGGGAACGUGCCUUUAGGUUCGGAAUAGCUCCUGGAAACGGGUGGUAAUGCCGAAUGUGCCCUUCGGGGGGAAGAUUUAUCGCCUUUAGAGCGGCCCGCGUCUGAUUAGCUAGUUGGUGAGGUAAUGGCUCACCAAGGCGACGAUCAGUAGCUGGUCUGAGAGGAUGACCAGCCACACUGGGACUGAGACACGGCCCAGACUCCUACGGGAGGCAGCAGUGGGGAAUCUUGCGCAAUGGGCGAAAGCCUGACGCAGCCGUGCCGCGUGAAUGAUGAAGGUCUUAGGAUUGUAAAAUUCUUUCACCGGGGACGAUAAUGACGGUACCCGGAGAAGAAGCCCCGGCUAACUUCGUGCCAGCAGCCGCCGUAA